rnacentral:lncRNA from 1 species
CUAAAAUCCUAACCAGCACACUCAGGAAGAAGAAACACACCACAGUUGAACUCUGUCAUCCUAUUUUGGGUAAUAUUGGGUCAGGAAUGUAUGUCUUUGGGAGGACGUGAUGCUUGGGUAGCUAUUGUGCCUUAAAGCAGAUGGUGUGUUUGAGAAAAUAAAAAGAUAAUAAUUGUAAAAACAAAGGAUAAUAAAUAUUUUUAAAGUAACACUCCUCACAGGUAUGCAUUAAACAACUGACUGUUCAGUAAUUCCUUGGACCUCCCCUUUAUGAACUCAAGAGUGAUUUUUAAGAUGGGAAUCACAUAGUUUUGCUCUCUAUACUUCCAUGGUUGGGAGGCAGGGAUGGCCUUACCCUCAGUGAUGGAUGAGGCAGAUAAGGUAUGUGAUGUCUUACGCAAGGUCACUUAGAGUUUGCGGGUUGGACUGGCACUGUGGUCCAGGUAUAUCUGUUUUUUUCCUCACGUGUAUAUGUCUGUUGAAUAUGCCAUUAGCAUUGUUCCUGUGUUUGAUAAAUCACUUGUUAAGGGCUUGGAGGGUACAUGUUCCUCUGAUCUCAACCUGCAGAUAAUACAAGAGUACCCUAAGUUGUUUAAAUAAGGAAAACGUG